rnacentral:rRNA from 1 species
UGGGGAAUAUUGGACAAUGGGGGGAACCCUGAUCCAGCCAUGCCGCGUGUGUGAAGAAGGCCUUAUGGUUGUAAAGCACUUUAAGCGAGGAGGAGGGUACUGGUAUUAAUACUACCAGGUACUGGACGUUACUCGCAGAAUAAGCACCGGCUAACUCUGUGCCAGCAGCCGCGGUAAUACAGAGGGUGCGAGCGUUAAUCGGAUUUACUGGGCGUAAAGCGUGCGUAGGCGGCUAAUUGAGUCGGAUGUGAAAUCCCCGAGCUUAACUUGGGAAUUGCAUUCGAUACUGGUUAGCUAGAGUGUGGGAGAGGAUGGUAGAAUUCCAGGUGUAGCGGUGAAAUGCGUAGAGAUCAGGAGGAAUACCGAUGGCGAAGGCAGCCAUCUGGCCUAACACUGACGCUGAGGUACGAAAGCGUGGGGAGCAAACAGG